CCUACGGGAGGCAGCAGUGGGGAAUAUUGGACAAUGGGCGAAAGCCUGAUCCAGCAAUGCCGCGUGAGUGAUGAAGGCCUUCGGGUCGUAAAGCUCUUUUACCAGGGAUGAUAAUGACAGUACCUGGAGAAUAAGCUCCGGCUAACUCCGUGCCAGCAGCCGCGGUAAUACGGAGGGAGCUAGCGUUGUUCGAAAUUACUGGGCGUAAAGAGUACGUAGGCGGUUAUUCAAGUCAGAGGUGAAAGCCCGGGGCUCAACCCCGGAACUGCCUUUGAAACUAGAUAACUAGAGUCUUGGAGAGGUUAGUGGAAUUCCGAGUGUAGAGGUGAAAUUCGUAGAUAUUCGGAAGAACACCAGUGGCGAAGGCGACUAACUGGACAAGUACUGACGCUGAGGUACGAAAGCGUGGGGAGCAAACAGGAUUAGAUACCCUGGUAGUCCACGCCGUAAACGAUGAUAACUAGUUGUUCGGUCACUUGGUGACUGAGUGACGCAGCUAACGCAUUAAGUUAUCCGCCUGGGGAGUACGGUCGCAAGNUUAAAACUCAAAGGAAUUGACGG
rnacentral:rRNA from 1 species